UCAACCAUGCUGGGGUGCCAAACGGCUGAGAUAAUACCCACAAACCUGAUCCAGAUAAUACUGGCGGAGGAAGCUUGGUUUUGUUUACG
rfam:Weissella viridescens strain DSM 20410 Scaffold1, whole genome shotgun sequence.